rnacentral:rRNA from 1 species
CCUACGGGUGGCUGCAGUGGGGAAUAUUGCACAAUGGGGGGAACCCUGAUGCAGCGACGCCGCGUGAGUGAAGAAGUAUCUCGGUAUGUAAAGCCCUUUCAGCAGGGAAGAAAAUGACGGUACCUGACCAAGAAGCCCCGGCUAACUACGUGCCAGCAGCCGCGGUAAUACGUAGGGGGCAAGCGUUAUCCGGAUUUACUGGGUGUAAAGGGAGCGUAGACGGCAGCGCAAGUCUGGAGUGAAAUCCCGGGGCCCAACCCCGGAACUGCUGUGGAAACUGCGGGGCUGGAGUGCAGGAGGGGUAAGCGGAAUUCCUAGGGUAGCGGUGAAAUGCGUAGAUAUUAGGAGGAACACCGGUGGCGAAGGCGGCUUACUGGACUGUAACUGACGUUGAGGCUCGAAGGCGUGGGGAGCAAACAGGAUUAGAUACCCCUGUAGUC